rnacentral:rRNA from 1 species
UACGUAGGGCGCAAGCGUUAUCCGGAAUUAUUGGGCGUAAAGAGCUCGUAGGCGGUUUGUCGCGUCUGCUGUGAAAACGCGAGGCUCAACCUCCAGCCUGCAGUGGGUACGGGCAGACUAGAGUGCGGUAGGGGAGAUUGGAAUUCCUGGUGUAGCGGUGGAAUGCGCAGAUAUCAGGAGGAACACCAAUGGCGAAGGCAGCACUCUGGGACGGUACUGACGCUGAGACGCGAAAGCGUGGGGAGCAAACAGG